UGGGGAAUAUUGGACAAUGGGGGCAACCCUGAUCCAGCAAUGCCGCGUGUGUGAAGAAGGUUUUCGGAUUGUAAAGCACUUUCGGCGGGGACGAUGAUGACGGUACCCGCAGAAGAAGCCCCGGCUAACUUCGUGCCAGCAGCCGCGGUAAUACGAAGGGGGCUAGCGUUGCUCGGAAUGACUGGGCGUAAAGGGCGUGUAGGCGGUUUGUACAGUCAGAUGUGAAAUCCCCGGGCUUAACCUGGGAGCUGCAUUUGAUACGUGUAGACUAGAGUGUGAGAGAGGGUUGUGGAAUUCCCAGUGUAGAGGUGAAAUUCGUAGAUAUUGGGAAGAACACCGGUGGCGAAGGCGGCAACCUGGCUCAUAACUGACGCUGAGGCGCGAAAGCGUGGGGAGCAAACAGGAUUAGAUACCCUGGUAGUCCACGCUGUAAACGAUGUGUGCUAGAUGUUGGGUAACUUAGUUAUUCAGUGUCGCAGUUAACGCGUUAAGCACACCGCCUGGGGAGUACGGCCGCAAGGUUGAAAC
rnacentral:rRNA from 1 species